CUUUGGAGAUGGGAACACGGAGAAGGUGAGCAUCAUCCGGCCCGGGUACUGCUCCCUGAUCUUGGAACCGGUGCCCCCGCCGAGGGAGUGGCACACCUGGAAGCCUCAGGACAAGCACAUGAACAAAAGGGAAAGUACCUUGGAGGCAGCGCAAUUCUCGGCCUCCUCGCGGACGACGUCGAGGAAGGAGUCGAUGAGCUCCCCGCCCUCGGUGUAGUGGCCCUUGGCCCAGUUGUUGCCGGCGCCGGACUGGCCGAAGACAAAGUUGUCAGGGCGGAAGAUCUGGCCGUAGGGCCCCUUGUGCACGGAGCCCAUGGUGUCGGGCUCGAGAUCCAUGAGCACGCACCGUGGGAG
rnacentral:rRNA from 1 species